rnacentral:rRNA from 1 species
CCAUUACUGACACUGAGGAGCGAAAGCGUGGGGAGCGAACAGGAUUAGAUACCCUGGUAGUCCACGCCGUAAACGGUGGGCACUAGUUGUGGGGACCUUCCACGGUCUCUGCGACGCAGCUAACGCAUUAAGUGCCCCGCCUGGGGAGUACGAUCGCAAGAUUAAAACUCAAAGGAAUUGACGGGGCCCCGCACAAGCAGCGGAGCAUGCGGCUUAAUCCGACGCAACGCGAAGAACCUUACCAAGGCUUGACAUAUACAGGAAUAUGGCAGAGAUGUCAUAGCCGCAAGGUCUGUAUACAGGUGGUGCAUGGUUGUCGUCAGCUCGUGUCGUGAGAUGUUGGGUUAAGUCCCGCAACGAGCGCAACCCUCGUUCUGUGUUGCCAGCAUUUAGUUGGGGACUCACAGGAGACUGCCGGGGUUAACUCGGAGGAAGGUGGGGAUGACGUCAAAUCAUCAUGCCCCUUAUGUCUUGGGCUGCACGCAUGCUACAAUGGCUGGUACAAACGGCUGCAAUACCGCAAGGUGGAGCGAAUCCGAUAAAGCCAGUCUCAGUUCGGAUUGGGGUCUGCAACUCGACCCCAUGAAGUCGGAGUUGCUAGUAAUCGUAGAUCAGCAACGCUACGGUGAAUACGUUCCCGGGGCUUGUACACACCGCCCGUCACGUCACGAAAGUCGUAACACCCGAAGUCAGUGGCCCAACCGCAAGGAGG